UCCGCCCGCUGGCGGCGUGCUUAACACAUGCAAGUCGAACGGAAAGGCCCUGCUUUUGUGGGGUGCUCGAGUGGCGAACGGGUGAGUAACACGUGAGUAACCUGCCCUUGACUUUGGGAUAACUUCAGGAAGCUGGGGCUAAUACCGGAUAGGAGCUCCUGCUGCAUGGUGGGGGUUGGAAAGUUUCGGCGGUUGGGGAUGGACUCGCGGCUUAUCAGCUUGUUGGUGGGGUAGUGGCUUACCAAGGCUUUGACGGGUAGCCGGCCUGAGAGGGUGACCGGCCACAUUGGGACUGAGAUACGGCCCAGACUCCUACGGGAGGCAGCAGUGGGGAAUAUUGCACAAUGGGCGGAAGCCUGAUGCAGCAACGCCGCGUGCGGGAUGACGGCCUUCGGGUUGUAAACCGCUUUCGCCUGUGACGAAGCGUGAGUGACGGUAAUGGGUAAAGAAGCACCGGCUAACUACGUG
rnacentral:rRNA from 1 species